rnacentral:rRNA from 1 species
GGAGGGAAUAUUGGUCAAUGGGACGAGAGUCUGAACCAGCCAAGUAGCGUGAAGGAUGACUGCCCUAUGGGUUGUAAACUUCUUUUAUAUGGGAAUAAAGUUUUCCACGUGUGGAAUUUUGUAUGUACCAUAUGAAUAAGGAUCGGCUAACUCC